CAGUCGCCGCGGUAAUUCGUAGGUGGCAAGCGUUGUCCGGAAUUAUUGGGCGUAAAGGGAGCGCAGGUGGGACGGUAAGUCCGUCUUAAAAGGCAGGGGCUCAGCCCCUGUAAGGGAUGGAAACUAUCGAUCUUGAGUGCCGGAGAGGAAAGCGGAAUUCCCAGUGUGGCGGUGAAAUGCGUAGAUAUUGGGAAGAACACCAGUGGCGAAGGCGGCUUUCUGGACGGCAACUGACACUGAGGCUCGAAAGCCAGGGGAGCGAACGGGAUUAGAUACCCGGGUAGUCCCUGUCUCUUAUACA
rnacentral:rRNA from 1 species